rnacentral:rRNA from 1 species
AAUGAACGCUGGCGGCGUGCCUAACACAUGCAAGUCGGAUGUGCCGCAAGGUGCAUGGCAGACGGGUGAGUAACGCGUGGGGAACCUACCUCUUUGUGGGGAAUAACGUUCCGAAAGGAAUGGUAAUACCGCAUGAGACCGAUGGCUGGGAUGCUGUCGGUGAAACCCGGGGACCGCAAGGCCUGGGGCAAGGGGAGGGUCCUGCGUCUGAUUAGCUAGUUGGCGGGGUAACGGCCCACCAAGGCGUCGAUCAGUAGCCGGCCUGAGAGGGUGAUCGGCCACACGGGAACUGAGACACGGUCCAGACUCCUACGGGAGGCAGCAGUGGGGAAUUUUGCGCAAUGGGCGAAAGCCUGACGCAGCAACGCCGCGUGGGUGAUGAAGGUCUUCGGAUCGUAAAACCCUGUCGUCAGGGACGAAGGUUGUAUGUCUAAUAGAUGUGCAGCUUGACGGUACCUGGAGAGGAAGCCCCGGCUAACUCUGUGCCAGCAGCCGCAGUAAAAC